CCCUCUCACCAUGAUGAAAUAAAGUAUUUUUAUUUGAAUUUAUGAGAUCACAAUUGAGACCAUUUUAGACCUGAGUACUCAUCAAAGAUUU
rnacentral:rRNA from 1 species